CCAAGAGAACAUGUUUUUUUGAUCAUGAAAAGGUUAUUUUCGAAUCAGUUACAGUCCAAAUUAAAUCGAAAAGAAAAUGGGGAAAAGAUAAGCUUAGAAAAUCUAGUAAAUAUAUAGAGUGUUUUACGAGAUAUCGGCGACGUGGAAGAAAAUGUUGACGGCAAUGCAGAAAUAUAGUUUCUUAUGUAUGUUUUUGUGAAAUAAAAAUUAAGUAA
rnacentral:lncRNA from 1 species